AGUGGGGCUGUUAAUCUGUGACACAUCACGGGUCAAACCCCCCGAUGUAGUCGUCGAUGUCCGACAUGCAAUUAGUGAGAAGAGGGACUGGGGACAGAGACUGAGGAAAAUGAAAGAGCAGCACAGAGGGACACGGAUCAAUGUCACUCUUAUCCUUGUCCAAAUAAUUCUGUUGUGUUUAGCAUUGGUCUUUGUCUGCGUCUAAGUGUUAGCAGUGUUAGCAGUCUGUGCUACUUUCUUUAUCGCCCUCUGUAUUUAAAUAUGUAUAUGAAUAUGGAUAAUUAAUAUUUUAAAUUAUUAUUUAUUUUCUUUAAAAAUGUAGUAAUAUAAGGUAGAAAUUUGAAACCAUGACCAACUGGUCACUUUUCUACAAAUGUCUAAAAAUCUAUAAUCCAAAAACCUUAUCUCAGGUCUGUCUAUAUCUGUCUGUGGUUGAUUAGUUUCAUCAGCUCACCUGUGUCCUGUGGUUCCCUGUUCAUUUGUCUCACUGUUCUCACCUGUGACCCUGUAAAACCUCCUCCUUCACUCACUCUUUGUUCACGGCUUGUUGGAUGUUCAGCGGAUGUUGUUGUUCCUGUUCGACGUUCCUUGCUCCUGCGCUCCUGUUUGUCAGAUGGUUGCCUGUUUCUGGUUUCUCAGUGGUCAUUCAGCAGUGUCUGUGGGACCUCCAGUGCUGUUGCACUCUGCUGAUCCACGGCUGGUUUGCCACAGUGUGCCAUCCCUGCCUCCAGCUCUCUCUUCAUGGCCACUUGACCCUUCAGGCAGUGUGACUGUAGAUCCAGAGCUGCCACAGGAUCAUCGCAGAAACUGAGAGAUUUGGUCAGCUUGGACAGCAGCAGCAGAGCAGAGUGAUGAGUGGCUGACCAGGAGCGCAGCGUUUUAUCUCACCUAACAGGUCCUGUCUGCUUCCCUGCACCUCCAAAUGUAACGAGACCAACAGCAGUGUGCAGGCUGAACCUCUUAGCCAGGUGGGCUGCAGUCCUGGAGGAGGAACAAGCUGCAGAACAACCUGGUGCAACUCUGAGCAGAGGAGACAACUCCUUUUCUGGACACGACUUCCCACUGCUAUAAUGGGAUCGACUGGAUCAUUGACGCACUUGGAUUUGUGAUGGAUGAAGAUGUGUCCAGUUCUCUGGACUCUGGCAGGCUCUAAUCCAAGUCCCACGAGGCUCUGAGCUCGGUCCUUUAUCAAAUUCAGCUGACCCCCCCAACAGGAAAUGAGGACGUCAGGGGCCACUGCUAAGGAGACGGGCGACAGAGUCACAUGUAGUGUGCGAACACUGUGGACAUUGAGAGCAGAUGUGGACAAAAAGACAAUUGAGUUCUAAAUUCAGUGACUCACCCGGCGUUACACGGAGAAAUGAACUGGAAUCCCUGAAACCUCUCCCAUCCUUUGUGUGAGUCUGAGUCUGAUUGGUCCAGCCAAACACAAACCCAGAGUUUACACCCAGGAAUUAUUUAAUGAUCUAAAGGGGAAAUAAAACAAUUUCAGUUCAAAGAAUGCCUAAAAAGAUCACGGAGACUUUUGUCUUUGAGGGAUGAAACUCCAACCAGACUGAGGAGCCUAUUAAAUGUUCUGGACUUAAUUAAUCGGAGGAAGCAGCACAAAACUGAACACAUGAACACUUCCUAUUUCCAGAAAUCUCCUCAAGAUUUUUCACCAAAUCUAAUCACACACACACACAGCAAAAAUUACUCAAUUACAUUAGUCUCUAAAGUCAGUAUGGGGAAAAAAGAAGAAAAAAGAAACUCCUCUAGUCCUUUAGUAUCAAGUGAAAGUAUAAUUGCUCUCAAGUGACUUGAUACCAGUUGCAGUGCUGGGCUUUAACUUGCCUUAUUAGGGGAUUUUUGAAAGUGGCAUGUUUUGAGUGUGUUGGGUUUUCGACUGACUGUACGGGGGAGCAGAUUAGCAUCAUCCAUAGAUGGGAUAUGGAGAUUAAAUUGGCUCUUGUUUUGAUUACUCUGCGACAUGUUGUGAAGUUGUCGUCUGCAACAUAAUGAUGUCUGGAGUGUGUGCCCGGAGUUUUCCUUUAGUUAGCCAAGUUUUUGCAGGAAGGCAGAGCUCCAGUGUUUGGUUACAAACUUGCAGAUGUACAUCCUUGAGGAUGAUUAUCUCCAUUUUCUAUAAUGCAAAAAAACAUGGUGAGAUGUUGUCGUGAAACUGAGGGGCGAGGUACGAUGUGUCCACACUGCUCACUUCCCCGUGAAAAAUAAUUCUG